GCUGGCGUAGCUUAAUUAAAGCA
rnacentral:tRNA from 1 species